rnacentral:rRNA from 1 species
GAUCUCCCGCUUGCGGGGGUGAUUAGUGGCGAACGGGUGAGUAAUACGUGAGUAACCUGCCCUUGACUCUGGGAUAAGCCUGGGAAACCGGGUCUAAUACUGGAUACGACCCCCUGUCGCAUGGUGGGGGGUGGAAAGGGUUUGACUGGUUUUGGAUGGGCUCACGGCCUAUCAGCUUGUUGGUGGGGUAAUGGCUCACCAAGGCGACGACGGGUAGCCGGCCUGAGAGGGUGACCGGCCACACUGGGACUGAGACACGGCCCAGACUCCUACGGGAGGCAGCAGUGGGGAAUAUUGCACAAUGGGCGGAAGCCUGAUGCAGCGACGCCGCGUGAGGGAUGACGGCCUUCGGGUUGUAAACCUCUUUCAGCAGGGAAGAAGCCACAAGUGACGGUACCUGCAGAAGAAGCGCCGGCUAACUACGUGCCAGCAGCCGCGGUAAUACGUAGGGCGCAAGCGUUGUCCGGAAUUAUUGGGCGUAAAGAGCUCGUAGGCGGUUUGUCGCGUCUGCUGUGAAAGCCCGGGGCUCAACCCCGGGUCUGCAGUGGGUACGGGCAGACUAGAGUGCAGUAGGGGAGACUGGAAUUCCUGGUGUAGCGGUGAAAUGCGCAGAUAUCAGGAGGAACACCGAUGGCGAAGGCAGGUCUCUGGGCUGUUACUGACGCUGAGGAGCGAAAGCAUGGGGAGCGAACAGGAUUAGAUAC